UUCUGUCCUUUCCUCGCAGCUCGUGGAUGAGAACGGAGCCAAGAUGAAGUCUGAGCAGUUUAAUCUUCAACUCUUCAACAAAGAAGAGUUGGGAAUCCACAGUUUUCAGUCCAGUGUUUCCAGCUGGAUCCAGAGAAGCUUCUCGAACAGAAAUGGCUGAGAGCAUGGAGGAGACUGGUGCAUUCUGGGAACUCAAAUCCUUCAGGGACAAUGUGAAGUGUAGAGAUCCACGUUGAACGGGACCUCGUUGCCUGUGGAGCUGGUGAAAAGGAAAAGGAAGCUUCAGAUCUGAUGGGACAAACAUCCUGUUUCUGACUGACCAACAAGCUGGUUGACAGAUGGAACAUUCAUGAAGACUCUUGAUGAUCCUGCUGAUGACAGACGGCUGCCGGUCGGGUUUAUUUUAAAGGAACAUUCAUGACUCACCACAGUAAAUUAAGACUCUUGAUGAUCCUGCUGAUGACAGACGUCUGCCGGUCAGGUUUAUUUUAAUGGUACACUCAUGACUCAACCCACAGCAAAUUAAGACUCUUGAUGGUCCUGCUGCUGAUGAUCUGGUUUAUUUUAUUGGUUUCCAUAAACAAAACAUGCAAAUAUAUUCAUCAGCCAGAAGACGGCUGCUGACGAGCUGCACAACAGACCUGAAUGAAGAAAAUACAAGUUGUGAUGUUGAAUGAAAUGCCCAAUAAAAACUAAUGAUUCAAA